rnacentral:rRNA from 1 species
UACAGAGGUCCCAAGCGUUGUUCGGAUUCACUGGGCGUAAAGGGUGCGUAGGCGGUCGGGUAAGUCUGACGUGAAAUCUCCAAGCUCAACUUGGAAAUGGCGCCGGAUACUAUUCGGCUCGAGGAGUGGAGGGGAGACUGGAAUUCUCGGUGUAGCAGUGAAAUGCGUAGAUAUCGAGAGGAACACCUGCGGCGAAGGCGGGUUGCUGGGCUGACACUGACGCUGAAGCGCGAAAGCUAGGGGAGCGAACGGG